CUGCUGGAAGGUCUCUUCUCUCCUGCUCACUGUCGCAGUCCAUCUGCAGCUGUCUGAGUGGGAUCCUGCCACAGAACCUGCAGACCAGGAUUUAGGUCCUGGGGCCUGGCUUACACUGCCCAGAACUAGGUGUUUCUGAAAUCAUGGGAAGGAAAGAGCAGAUGGCAGUUUUCUGUCUGUCCAUCUUUCUGUCACACUUAGUCUCACUGUGUUUUAUUGAUUGUGUUAAGAGAUCUUUUCUUUCCGUGAAAGCAGAGUGUCACAGAGAAGCAGAGACAGAGAAACAGACUUCUCAUCUGCUGGUUCACUUCCCAAAUGAUCUCAGAGGCUGGGUGUGGGCCAAGUGGGAAACCAGGAGAAGGGAACUGCACUGAGGUCUCUCCCUCCCUGAGGUGUGGGCCCGUGGACUUGGGCCACCUUCCUCUGCCUUCCCAGGCGGGCGUGUUAGCAGGGAGCUGCAUCUGAAACUGAUCCACCGGGAAUCCACCACUGCUCGGAUAUGCAUUGUGGGAGUUGCAAGCUAUACCUUCUCUUUCUGCCUAAGGUUGCCACCACGCUGGCAGCAUUUACAGGUAACUAACCUAUUAUUUAAUAAAUAAAUUAUAUGAAUGUUAAAGGUUUGCAUCACCAUAACAGGAGCUUAUGUGUAUCAUAAGGAUUUGAAGAUUGAAUUAGCUAAUGAAGAUCACUUUUCUCCCUGUCUUCCUGGCUCAUUCAGUCCAUCUUGAGUGAGCUCUGUGUACUUUUCUAUUCUUUUCUUUUUAAAGAUUUAUUCAGGGGCCAGUGCUGUGGCACGAUGGGUUAAAGCCCUGUCCUGCAGUGCCAGCAUCCUAUAUAGCAUCGGUUCAAGUCCCAGGUGCUCCACUUCUGACCCCCACUCUGCUUAUGCACCUGGUAAAGCAUCACGGGAUGGCCCAAAUCCAUGGCCCACUAUGUGCACGUGGGAGACCCAUAAGAAGCUUGGCUCCUGGCUUCAGAUCGGCUUAGCUCCAGCAAUUGUGGCCAUUCAGGAGUGAAUCAAUGGAUGGAAGACUUUCUCUCUCUCUCUCUCUCUCUCUCUCUCUCUCUCUCCAAAUCUUUCAAAUAAAUGAAAAAAAACUUUAAAAAUUAUUUAUUUAUAUGAAGCAGAGAAUUACAGACAGAAAAGGAGAGAAAGACGGAGAUCUUCCAUCCACUGGAUGACUCUGCAAAUGAUAGUAAUGAAUGGGACUGUCAGGCAUAACCAGAGGCCAGGAGUUUCUUCUGGGUUUCCCACCUGGGUACAGGGGCCCAAGUAGACUGACAGACAGACAGAGACACAGAGAAGGAAAUGGUCCAUCCUGGUCGCCCUGGGGUUGGCAGGGGUCCUAGUACUGGGAUCUUUUCCUCUGGCUUCCCAGGCACUUUAGCAGGGAGCUGCAUGAGAAGCAAAGCAGCCAGCAGUGGGACCCUGGCUGCCAGGGCACCUGCCCAGGAUGGAAGUGGAAGCUGAAAACCCUGACCAUGGGGCUAGCCUGCUCCCAGGCCUUUAUGUCUGUAAUGAGUUGACAACUUAAUUCAUUAGUUAUAUGCAAUGUGUGACUUCUAGUGAAGCGUUCAUGUGAUAUUGAGGGGAGUAGAUAUUGCUGGGAUUUGGGGACUGAAAUAGCAGAUAGAGACAUCCUCUGUUCCAUUCUUCAUCUUUGUUGUCUGUCUUGAUGUCUGCAUUUCAAAUCAAAAAAGCUAUGCAUUUGAUUUUAAUAUUUGACCUUUAUAUUUGCUUCUUCCUACAUUUAUUUGAAAGGCAGGCUAAUGGAAGGCCAGAGGUCACAAACGGAGAAGGAGAGAGAGAGAGAGAGAGAUCUAGAGAGAUUUUUAGUUUCACUAUAUCAUGUCAGGAGCAGCAGUGUGUCCUGUGGGCAAUUUGGGACCACACUAGCUGAUGCAAUCUCUUGUCUCUCUCUUCCUGUCUGUCUCAGUCCAUCUGAGGCUGCGUGUGGGAUGUUGCCACAGAACCUGGUGACCUGGAUUCAGAUCUGGGGCCUGGCUUCCUCCGGCCCAGUAGGUAGGUAUUUCUGAAAUUUGGGGAGUGAAAGGGCAGAUGGGAAUCAUUUUUCUGUCUGUCACCCCAUGUCUCUGCAUAUUAUUGAUUCUGCUGAAAGUCAUUUUUUAAAGAUUUAUUUGCUAAUGGGAAUGGUAGAGUUAGAGUGAGAGCUUGGGACAGAAAAAGCUUCCGUCUGCUUGUUCACUCCUCAGAUGACCACAGCUGCUGUUGCUGCAUCGAUGUGAAGCCAGCACAGAGGAGCCCCCUCCAGGUCUCCCACAUGGGUGCAGGGACCCAAGCACGUGGGCCAUGUUCCUCUGGGUUGCCAGGCCAUAAGCAGAGAGCUGGAUCAGAAGAGGAACAGCCAGGAUAUGAACUUGUACCCAUGUGGGAGGCUGGCUCCUCGGCAGAGGUUUAACCCACCAUGUCACAGCACCGGCCCCAGAAGAUAGUUUCAUUGGAAGGCCGAGUGACACAGAGAGAAGCAUAGACUGAGAGAGAGAGACCUCUCAACUGCUGGUUCACUCCCCCAGUGAUCUCUAGGUCAAGUGAGAAGCCAGGAGUCGGGAACUGCGCCGGGUCUCGCCCAAGACAGUGGCCUAGACCCAGGGACUGGGGCCACAUCCUCUGCCUUCCCAGCACAUGAGCAGGGAGCUGCAUCAGAACCUGAGCCGCAGGUAAUCGAGUCCUGUCCCAGGUAUGGAUUCUCCCAGUUAGAAGCCGGAUCAUCACAAUCCGCUGACGUUUGCCAGCACUCUGUCUGCUUUUCCAGGUACCUAUCCUACUAACUUUAUUAAUUACUAUUGAUCAGAAAGUUUUGUGUUACCAUGACAGGAGCAGCAGUAUCACAGGCAUUUGGGGACUGAACCUGCUGAUGGAGACCUCAUUUCUUUCUGUCUUCCUCACUGUCUCAGUGUAUCUGUAGCUGUUUUCAAUGUGUGUUUCUCUUUAUUUAAAAUUUAUUUAUUGAUUUGAAAGGCUGAGCUACAAAGAGGCAUAGGAAGAGAGACAAAAGAGAAGUCUUCCAUCCAUUGGUUCACUCCCCAAAUGGCCACAAUGUGCAGAGCUGCAGCACAAUGGCUGGAGCUGCAUUGAUCAAAACCAGGAGCCAGGAACUUCUUCCAGGUGUUUUACAUGGCUGUAGGGGCCUAGCAACGGUGGCCAUCUUCUGCUUUCCCAGGCCAUAGCAGAGAGCGGGAUUGGAAGUGGAGUAGCUAUGACUUGAAGCAGCACCAAUAUGGGAUGCCCCAGUGCAGUAAGUGGCUUUACUUGCUAUACCAUGGUGCCAGCCGUUGUGUGUGCCUUUUAAAUUCAGACAGUUUUGAUACUGAAAGGUCAAGUUGUGUGAUGUACAUUUGUAGCAACCGUCCUGAUAUUUCAUGGGAUGCCCAUCUCCAACCUUGCAGAGCCUGGGUUGGGGUCCAGGCCCCACGUGCAAUUCCAGCUUGCUGGGGAUACACACUGAGGGAGGCAGCAGGUGACAGCUGAAGCACUUGGGAUCCUGCCACAGACCCUGGAGGCCUGGAGUCAGCUCCUGGGGCCUGGCUUCAACCUGGCCCAGAGCUAAGUGUUCCUGAAAUUGGCCUGGGAAUGAGCAGGUGGGAGGUGUUUGUUCAUCUGUCUGUCUUCUCUCUCUCUCUCUCUCUCUCUCUCUCUCUGCCUUUUAUUGAUUGUGUUGAGAGAUUUUCUUUCUGUGAAAGGCAGAACAACACAUAAGCAGAGACAGAGAGAGAGAGAGAGAGAGAGAGAGAGAUCGGUCUCAUCUGCUGAUUCAUUCCCUGAAAGGUCAGAGGUUGGGUGAGGUCCCAGUGGGAAGCUAUGAACAGGACCUGACCAGGAUCUCUCCAACAUGAGUAGCAGUUUCCCAAGGAAUUGAGCUACAUUCCUCUUUCUUCCCAGGCUCAUUAACAUGGAGCCUCUGAGAACCAGAGCACUGGAAUGUGCCCCUGUCUCUGUAAGGAUUGUGAGAGUUGCAAGCUGCGUCAUUGCUUUCUGAUGAAGUUAACAGCACUCUUUCUAUGCUUUGGCCUGGGUUGAGUUGAAGGCUCUACUAGCCAUUAGAGCUUGCUGGGGACGCAUACUGCAGAAGGCAGCGGCAGAGGAAAACAGAGAAAUCAGACAGAGAGAGAAGGGAUACACCUCCCCUGAGAAGAUCGCCAGCAUUCUCUCUGCUUUUGCAGGUAAAUUGCCUACUAAUGAAUUAAUUAAUUUCUGUACAUGGCAAAGUUUCACUUUAGUAUGACGGGAAAAAACAUGAGAAUUGUGGGUCUGGGGACAGCACUAGCUGCUGGAAGGUCUCUUCUCUCCUGCUCACUGUCGCAGUCCAUCUGCAGCUGUCUGAGUGGGAUCCUGCCACAGAACCUGCAGACCAGGAUUCAGGUCCUGGGGCCUGGCUUAUGCAUCUGAAAUGAGCAUGGGUUCAAGUCCUGGCUGCUCAACUUGUCAUCCAACUCCCAGAAUAGCUGCCUGGGAAAGCAGAGGCAGAUUUCUUGGUCCACUCAGACUCCAGCCCUCAAACUCAUGGGUCACCAGGUAGCUCCUGCAGGAUCCUGGCUUCAGUCUGGCCCAGCCCAGGCAAGUGCAGUCAUCUGGGGAGAGCUCUGGCACAAAAAAGAUUUCUCUCUCUCUCUCUCUCUGUGUGUGUGUGUGUGUUUGUGUGUUUGUCUGUCUGUCUCUGUCUCUCACUCACUUUGGGACUUUCUGGCCCUCCAUAAACCUGUCUUUCCAUAAAUGUAAGAUCCAAAAAUAAGCAAAUAUAAUGAACAAAACUUAAGAAAAAGCUAAUCUCUAGAUGUGAAAGGAGACAGUGAGUCAAAGAGACAGAGGACCGGUACAGAAGAUGUCUCUCUGCUAUUUCAGUCCCCAAAUCCUAGUGGUAUCCACUGCCACCCCUAUCAUGUAAUAUCUUCACUAGAGUGUGUGCAUUACAUAUAAUGUACUCAUUAAGCGACUUACAGGGCUGGGAGCAGGCUAGCCCCAUGAUCAGGGUGUUCAGCCUCCACUUCCAUCCUGGGCAGGUGCCCUGGCCGCCAGGGUCCCACUGCCGGCUGCACUGCUGCUCGUGCAGCUCCCUGCUAACGUGCCUGGGAAGCCAGAGGAGGGCAGCCCUAGUGAUCGGGCUCUUACCAACCCUGGCGAGACCAGGAUGAACCAUUUCCUGUUCUGCGUCUCCCUUGUCUGUCAGUCUGCCUUUCCAAUUAAGGAAAGAAACCUUUGAGGGCAGUGUGUCAGCAGGAGGGUGACACAGUGAGAUAAACAGACUGACAGACGAAAAUCUCCAUUUCCUGUCUCCUGCCCCACUUUUGUAAAACCCCCAGGACUGGGCCAUGAUGUAGCCUGGCACCAUGAGCUGAAUUCAGGCCUCCAGGUCUGUGUCAGGAUCCCAAGGGCUUCACCCAUCACCUGCUGCCUCCUGCAGGGUGUGUCCCGACAAGCUGGAAUGGCCAGUAGGGUCUGGACCUCAACCCAGGCUCUAUAAGGUGGGACACUGGUACCCUAAGAAGCAGAAGAACUGUUGCAACAAAUGCAUAUCGCAGAAUUUCAUCUUCCAGGAUCAAAAUUGUAUUUGAAAGGCACACACAGACACCAAGCUACAGAAGGAGUGAGAAAGUGAGAAGAGGGAAAAAACAGAUCUUCCAUCAGCUAUUUCAGUCCCCAGUGCCCGCAAAACUUACUGCUGCUCCUGUCAGAGUAAAGUGAAACUUUAAGAUCUAUAGUAAUUAAUUAAUUAAUUAAUUGGUUAGUUACCUGCGAAAGCAGAGAGGGUGUUGGCAAACUUUGUCAAAGUGAUGACACAGCUUGUGACUCCCACAAUCCUUAAAUGACAGUGGUGCAUUCCUGGUGCUCUGGAUCCUAUGCAGCUCCUAGCUAACGUGCCUGGGAAGAAAGAGGAAGGUUGCCCAAAUCCCUGGGACAUUGCCACUCACCGGAGAGACCCCGGUGCAGUUUCUGUCUGCUAGCUUCCCACUAGCACCACACCCAAACUCUGACAUUUCAGGGUAUGAAUCAGCAGAUGAGACACCUCUCUCUCUCUUUCUCUCUGUCUCUGUCUCUGUCUCUCUGUCUCUGCUUCUGUGUUGUUCUGCCUUUCACAGAAAGAAAAUCUCUCAACACAAUCAAUAAAAGGCAGAGAGACAGAGGGAGAUAGUCAGAUGAACAGACAGAAUCCUCCCACCUUUUCUUUCCCUGCCCAAGUUUAUAUGCAUCACACAACUUGACCUUUCAGUAUCAAAACUGUCUGUAUUUGAAAGGCACAUGCAGGGGCUGGCACCAUGGCAUAGCAGAUAAAGGCACCUCCUGCAUUGAGGCAUUCCAUAGGGCUGCCCAUUCAAGUUACAGCUCCUACACUUUCGCCCAGCUCUCUGCUAUGGCCUGGGAAAGCAGUAGAAGAUGGCCCAAGUCCUUGGGCACUAGCACCCACGCGGGACACCCGGAAGAAUUUCCUGGCUCCUGGCUUUGGAUCAAUGCAGCUACUGCCAUUGCACCAAAGGUCUGGCCAUUGUGGCAACUUGGGGAGUGAACCAUUAGGUAGAAGACUUCUCUCUUUGUCUCUCUCUGCCUAUGCCUCUUUGUAGCUCAGCCUUUCAAAUCAAUAAAUAAAUUUUAAAUAAAGAGAAACACACAUUGAAAACAGCUACAGAUACACUGAGACAGUGAGGAAGACAGAAAGAAAUGAGGUCUCCAUCAGCAGGUUCAGUCCCCAAAUGCCUGUGAUACUGCUGCUCCUGUCAUGGUAACACAAAACUUUCUGAUCAAUAGUAAUUAAUAAAGUUAGUAGGAUAGGUACCUGGAAAAGCAGACAGAGUGCUGGCAAACGUCAGCGGAUUGUGAUGAUCCGGCCUGUAACUGGGAGAAUCCAUACCUGGGACUCGAUUACCUGUGGCUCAGGUUCUGAUGCAGCUCCCUGCUCAUGUGCUGGGAAGGCAGAGGAUGUGGCCCCAGUCCUUGGGUCUAGGCCACUGUCUUGGGAGAGACGCAGCACAGUUCCCGACUCCUGGCUUCUCACUUGACCUAGAGAUCACUGGGGGAAUGAACCAGCAGUUGAGAGGUCUCUCUCUCUCUCUCUCUCUCUCUCUGCUUCUCUCUGUGUCACUCAGCCUUUCUUAGAAAUAAACUAUCUUCUGGGGCCGGUGCUGUGACAUGGUGGGUUAAACCUCUGCCGAGGAGCCAGCCUCCCACAUGGGUACAAGUUCAUAUCCUGGCUGUUCCUCUUCUGAUCCAGCUCUCUGCUUAUGGCCUGGCAACCCAGAGGAACAUGGUCCACGUGCUUGGGUCCCUGCACCCAUGUGGGAUACCUGGAGGGAGCUCCUCUGUGCUGGCUUCACAUCGAUGCAGCAAUAGCAGCUGUGGACAUCUGAGGAGUGAACAAGCAGAUGGAAGCUUUUUCUGUCUCUCCUUCUCUCUGUAACUCUACUUUUCAAAUAAACAACUAAAUCUUUAAAAAUGUAUUUCAAAAGAUCAAUAAUAUACAGAGAGACACAGGUUGAGAGACAGACCAAAAAAAUUCCCAUUUGCUCUUUCCCUCUUCAAAUUUCUUUUUUUUCCCCUGUUCAAAUUUCAGAAACCUGCCUAUUGGCCAGGUGGAAGCCAGGUCCCAGAUCCGAAUCCAGGUCACCAGGUUCUGUGGCAGCUUACCACAGACAGCCUCAGAUGGACUGAGACAGCAAGGAAGAGAGAGACAAGAGAAAUCUUGCAUCAGCUAGUUUGGUCCCAAAAUGCCCACAGGACACACUGCUGCUCCUGACACGAUAUAUUGAAACUAAAAAUCUAAAGUAAUUAAUUACUUAAUUAAAUCAUAAGUUAGUUACUUGCAAAAUCAAGCGAGUGCUAGCAAAUUUAGAAUGAGAGGUGUCCUUUCUCUCCCUGUGUGGGCUCUCUGAUCCCGGCUCUCCCACGUGGACGGUAGGGUCUGAGUUCCCCUGUCCUUCACCUGCUGCCUCCCACAGUGUGUCUGGGAGGAGUCAGAACUGGAGCAGAGCCUGCACUGGACGCCAG